rnacentral:tRNA from 1 species
GUGAACAUGCCAGAUGGUUAUUGGGCAUGACUAGAAAUCAUGUGGCCUCUGCCCCCGCAGGUCCGAAUCCUGCCGUCCACG